UACCUACUAUUACUAACUAACUAACUAUAAGAAACACCUUAUUUCUCACAUGGUUAUGAAUAUCUACAACAAACCAGUUGAUCUCAGAGGUACUGUGAAAAUGAUUUUUAGUGCCAAUAAUGACACUAAAGCCAAUGUUGUACAAAACUGUUUUAGGAAAUCUGAAUUCUCAUUACUGGAAAAUGUUUUGCAUGAUGAUGAUGAUGAUUUUGUGGCAGAAGAUAGAAACCAGUCUCUUACAGAUUUACUCAUGGACCAAGAAACCUAGAAAAUACUUACUGAAACUAAUAAUGUCACAGCUAAAGACUAUAUUCUGUGCAAAGAAAAUGCAUUAACAGAAAUGCUGCUUAUUGUUGAAGAUAUUGUGUACAAAAUUACAAGUAGGCAAGGAUAAAGAUGGCAGCAUAUCUGACAAAGAAGGUGAAGAGAGUACUACAGAGAGAAAACCAAUAUUAGUUGAAGCUCAUAGUGCAUUGGAAUACUAAAAUUUUGUUUUGAAAAUUCCAACAUUUCUCAGAAUGAACCUGUUUUUUGAUAAUCUC
rnacentral:lncRNA from 1 species